GACGAACGCUGGCGGCGUGCUUAACACAUGCCAGUCGAACGGAAAGGCCCUGCUUUUGUGGGGUGCUCGAGUGGCGAACGGGUGAGUAACACGUGAGUAACCUGCCCUUGACUUUGGGAUAACUUCAGGAAACUGGGGCUAAUACCGGAUAGGAGCUCCUGCUGCAUGGGGGGGGUUGGAAAGUUUCGGCGGUUGGGGAUGGACUCGCGGCUUAUCAGCUUGUUGGUGGGGUAGUGGCUUACCAAGGCUUUGACGGGUAGCCGGCCUGAGAGGGUGACCGGCCACAUUGGGACUGAGAUACGGCCCAGACUCCGACGGGAGGCAGCAGUGGGGAAUAUUGCACAAUGGGCGGAAGCCUGAUGCAGCAACGCCGCGUGCGGGAUGACGGCCUUCGGGUUGUAAACCGCUUGCGCCUGUGACGAAGCGUGAGUGACGGUAAUGGGUAAAGAAGCACCGGCUAACUACGUG
rnacentral:rRNA from 1 species